AUGAUGUUAAUGAUAAAGUAUUGCCUAUCUUGAAAACAUACCUAACUUUUGCUGUAAGGGUUCUUGCUUAUUUCACUGAAAACCAGCAAAGGUAUUGAUCACCUUUUAGGACUCAUGAAAAAUGUUGAGGGAUGGAAAUUCCUCAGUAACAAAAAGGUUGAGGAAUAGAAAUUGGGGUAAGUCUAUUCCAUACGGAUGAAUGAUGUGUGAUAGAAAUAUUGAUAACUGAGUAAUGACUUGACAAUUUUCUUUUAUGGCUCUUGCCUGGAGUACCCAUUCUAGAGCAGGCAAAAAAGUAUGAAGGGCCUUUACAGAAGCAGCACACCAGUUCAAUAUUCAAUAUAAAGUCUCAUAGGAAUGUGGCAGGUGACAUAAUAUUUCAGAGUUGUUAGGUACAAUCCUGACACCUAAGAAUAGGCUGAUUCAUUAGGGCAUGUCUUCUAACCAAUGUGUGCUCUUUUGAGAUGAUAAGGUAGGAUAUGACUUACUCAGCUUGUAGGGGUAUUGUCUGUUCUGCCUUGAAUUUGCUGGAAGGAUAUUAAAUGUGUCAAAGCUGAUGUGGCUCAGAUUUUGGUGAGGCACCUGGAAUGCAGGUGGCUGGAGAAGGGUCUGUGGUACAUGUCAGCAUUAGGGCUUCCCAAGACACCCACUGUGGACACAAAUGUAAAUUCAAGCAUUGCUACUAAAUAAAGCUGGGCAAGUGUACCAGGCAAACAUGGAUAUUCAGGGAGAGACCUGACCUGUCACAUGUGAAACUCCUUAACUUAAUUGUAAUCACAUUGGAGAAAGAGAUCAGUCAAUAUCUAGAGGCACUCUCAGAUGGCAGUGCAGGACAAAAUAGUAUGAACUGAGGAUGUAGAACAACCAGCAUUCCCCAUAUGCUCCACAUCUCUUCCAAAAGCUGCUGUUGGUUAACAGAGCUGUUAUCUGCUGCUUCAACUGGAUGUACCUCCUGCCUGUAGAUUUUCAUAACAUAUCUUGAGUGCAUCUCUUGCACAAGAUGAGCUACCUACCUUGAAGAUGUGUGGGAUUUCAUGGCAUGGAUUAAUUGGACUCCAUAACUUCAGUCACUUUUGAGAUGACCCUAGUUUGUGCCUGCAGCAUUCCUCUGGACUUCCUGGAUUUCCAAAGCCUUCCCUGUAAAGGCUUUGAGGAUUCCUAGCCUUCAACAUCAGCGGAUGGUGACUGUACUAUACCUAGUGACUGAGCACCAAAAUCAUCCCACAACAAAGGAAAAAACCCUGUUCUCAUUCAGCUAAUAGAUUUGCCUUGGUCAUUGGAAUACACGUGAAGUUCAGCACCUGAUGAGACAGCCCACUGUGGUCCUAGGAUAUGGACCUGGAAAAUCCAGUGGUCUUCUGAAAUGAUGUGGUUGGAUGACAAUAUCUUCAUCACUGCUUUCCAUGAAUCUCCAAAUGCUGGGAUUGUUUAAUUGUUAUGUCUCACACAUCAAACCAUAGAUGUGGCUGUGGUACAAUGGGACAAAUCUGGAGCUGGGGCAGAGGAUUAUUCCCUUUUGGUUUCUGUUAUGCUGAGCACAUCUAGGCAUGGACCAUGGCAUUUAAGGAGGAUCCAGGUGGAUGCCUCUAGGAGCAGGUGAAGAAGCUGGGUCUCUAGGUUAGGCACUCUGUCACUGAAAAUUCCCUUCCCUCCUCCUCUCACUUGCAAGAUAAGCAAUGCAGGUCAGCGAAGAGCAGUCUGUUGGCAUGCUGUGCGCUUGAAGCGGUAGAAAACCUAGAAGCUGCUUCAUAGAAAAGGGUCCCCUCGCAACAGAGAGAUAGAUCAAGUACCUGCUUCCCUCUCGUUCUGUUUCUCAUUUUCUGAUACCCUUUUUUUUUUUUAACUUUGUAUUGUGUAAUGGCCUGAAGUUGUGUUUUCUUUCUUCACAGAAACUGAAGAAUAAACUUUCUCAGCUUUUUGCAGCUCAAGGCUGGAUUCUGUUUGUGUUUACUCGCACCACAAAGAUCUGACUGCACACUCUUCCAGCUGAGACUUUUGGGCAAAAUAUUACAUAGCGUAUGCUUCCUUCUAUAUUUCUAAUUCAGUCUGUGAGCUGUGCAUAUUUGCAAGGGUUUUUAAAGCUGUCUCUUACAGUCAGAGACCGCUGAGGGUCAGGUGAUGUUUUCAUCUGUGGAGCAUUUGCAAACUUUGCAGGCUGCAGCUUUCUGAGAUGUU